AUGGACACCGGGGUGCCCGCCUUUUCCAUGAAUCCGGUGAUGGCGGAGAUCUUCCGGCAGCUAGGCCUUGACCCGGAUCAGGUGGGAGGCUUCUUCGCCCGCUCCCUCUCCCACACCCACCACGCCCUCCCGGACCCGCCCGUGACGGCCGACGCCCGCCUCUUCGCCCUCCUCCCCGACGACCCAGUAGACCGCGUCAGCCGCCUCCCCGACGCGCUCCUCGGCAACAUCGUCUCCUGCCUCCCCGUCAAGGACGGCGCGCGCACCGCCGCGCUCUCCCGGCGCUGGCGCGGGGUCUGGCGCUCCGCCCCGCUCGUCCUCGUCGACUCCCACGUCCACCCCGCGGGCACCGCGUACGCGCAGGGCGUCGCCUCCGCCGUCUCCCGCGUCCUCGCCGCGCACCCGGGCCCCUUCCGCUGCGUCCACCUCACCGAGUCCCCCCUGCUCGCGGCCUGGCUCCAGAUCGUCGCCGGCAAGGGCGUCCAGGAGCUCACCCUCGUCCACCACCCGUGGCCGCUCGAGAUCUUUCUCCCCUCCACCUUCUUCUUAGGCAUGGAGACCCUCACCCGCCUCUACCUCGGGCUCGGGCUCUGCGACGUCGUCAUGAAGACCGGGGAUUUGGACUUCAUCCUCGACAGGAGCCCCGUGCUGGAGACGCUGUCUCUGGAAGGGGAGAUGCUCGAGCGUUGCCUCGGCCUUGUCAGCCAAAGCCUCCGGCGCGUGCAGAUCAUCGGGUGCUCGGUUGGAGAAAUCUUCGUGGUGGACGCGCCAUGCCUUGAGCGACUCAUCCAGUCGGGAGGCUGGUGCCCUGAAGACACUGAUGGCAACUGCACCAAGGUGAAGAUCGGCCAUGCCCCCAGGUUGCACAUGUUGGGAUACUUGGAGUUGGACCCAAGAAACGUCCUAGAGGUCGGCAACACCGUCAUCAAGGCUGGGACAAGGGUGAGCCCGAGAACCAUGGUACCAAGCGUGGGAGUCAUGGCUUUGGAGGUGCGUUUCGGUGUCCGCAACGAUGCCAAGAUGGUUCCCAGUGUCCCCAGGUGCUUUCCGAACAUCGAGACGCUCCACAUCAAGUCUGCAAAAACCGAUCGAUCCACUGGCAAGCUGAACCUGAAGUUCUGGCAUGAGUGUGGUGUCAUAGAGUUCGUCCGGUCGCGCAUCAAGCUGCUGGUUUUCCAUGAUUUCCGAGGCGGCCGAGGCGAGCUCGCCUUCCUCAAAUACUUCUGUGAGACCGCAUCGGUGCUGAAGAAGGUGGUGAUUCUGUUCGCCGACGGCUUCGCUUCGACCGAGGAGGCGCAGUCCAAACUGUCGAGUCUGGGGUCGGUGAAACGGGCCAGUGAAACCUCUACAGUGCUGGUCACCGUACCUUCUGAUCCUCAAGUAGGUUCCAUUCGGAGCUUCAAGAUAGGGUCUGGUUUUUCUGCUGACGACCCUUUUGCAAACUACUGA
rnacentral:rRNA from 1 species